rnacentral:rRNA from 1 species
GACGAACGCUGGCGGCGUGCCUAAUACAUGCAAGUCGAGCGGACGGAUGGGAGCUUGCUCCCAGACCGUCAGCGGCGGACGGGUGAGUAACACGUGGGCAACCUGCCUGUAAGACUGGGAUAACUCCGGGAAACCGGGGCUAAUACCGGAUAACUCUUUCCCUCACAUGAGGGAAAGCUGAAAGAUGGCAUCUCGCUAUCACUUACAGAUGGGCCCGCGGCGCAUUAGCUAGUUGGUGAGGUAACGGCUCACCAAGGCGACGAUGCGUAGCCGACCUGAGGGGGUGAUCGGCCACACGGGGACUGAGACACGGCCCAGACUCCUACGGGAGGCAGCAGUAGGGAAUCUUCCGCAAUGGACGAAAGUCUGACGGAGCAACGCCGCGUGAGUGAUGAAGGUGUUCGGAUCGUAAAACUCUGUUGUCAGGGAAGAACAAGUACCGGAGUAACUGCCGGUACCUUGACGGUACCUGACCAGAAAGCCACGGCUAACUACGUG